rnacentral:rRNA from 1 species
GUGGGGGAUAUUGCACAAUGGAGGAAACUCUGAUGCAGCGACGCCGCGUGAGUGAAGAAGUAUUUCGGUAUGUAAAGCUCUAUCAGCAGGGAAGAUAAUGACAGUACCUGACUAAGAAGCCCCGGCUAACUACGUGCCAGCAGCCGCGGUAAUACGUAGGGGGCAAGCGUUAUCCGGAUUUACUGGGUGUAAAGGGAGCGUAGACGGAAUGGCAAGUCUGAAGUGAAAUCCUGCGGCUUAACUGCAGAAUUGCUUUGGAAACUGUCAAUCUGGAGUGUUGGAAAGGUAAGCGGAAUUACUAGUGUAGAAGUGAAAUGCGUAGAUAUCAGGAAGAACAACGGAGGCGAAGGCGGCUUACUGGACAAUAACUGACGUUGAGGCUCGAAAGCGUGGGAAGCAAACAGGAUUAGAUACCCGAGUAGUCC